GAUGAACGCUAGCGGCAGGCUUAAUACAUGCAAGUCGAGGGGUAGCAAGAUUGUAGCAAUACAAUUGUUGACGACCGGCAAACGGGUGAGGAACACGUACACAACCUUCCUACAAGUGGGGAAUAGCCCAGAGAAAUUUGGAUUAAUACCCCGUAACAUAGCGAUGUGGCAUCACAUUGCUAUUAUAGCUUCGGCGCUUGUUGAUGGGUGUGCGGCUGAUUAGAUAGUUGGCGGGGUAACGGCCCACCAAGGCUACGAUCAGUAGCUGAUGUGAGAGCAUGAUCAGCCACACGGGCACUGAGACACGGGCCCGACUCCUACGGGAGGCAGCAGUAAGGAAUAUUGGACAAUGGACGCAAGUCUGAUCCAGCCAUGCCGCGUGAAGGAUUAAGGUCCUCUGGAUUGUAAACUUCUUUUAUAAGGGACGAAAAAAGGUCUUUCUAGAUCGUCUGACGGUACCUUAUGAAUAAGCACCGGCUAACUCCGUGCCAGCCGCCGCCGUAAGAC
rnacentral:rRNA from 1 species